CUUUCUUUAUAUUUUUUUUUGCUAGUCUUGCUUUUUAUUCUGUCUUUACAUUUGAACGCGCAGUUCAUUUGCACAGAGACACACAUACACACACGAGCGCACAGUAAUUUCUUUCGUGCAUACGAGUAUGCUUUCAUUUUUCUGGUGCCAGAAUGUCUGUCUAAAACCAAAGCCAGUCGGUUCGCGCUGUGCCCGUAACACCAUAAUAGCAUGGCAGAAUAUGGCACGGCACGGCGUGCUGCGGGACCGGCGGACGAUGCUUAAUGAGUUGCUGAGGCAGCCAAGCAAAUGCGCAUAGCACAAAGGUGGCAAAGUGGCGGCGGCAAACGUGACGGUUGCGGUUAGUACCAGCGUGUAUGUAUGUGUGCGUUAGUGUACUCAAUAUAUAACAAAGUGAAUGGUGAGUACGGGGAGCGGCCGGCAUUGCCAGGUAAAGGAGAUGGAAAAUGAAAUGAGAUGAGUGGAGCUUGACGUUCAAGUUGAGCUUGAGGUUAAGAUAGAGGUAGAGGUGAGCAUGUGUAACGGUGUGGCGAAGUGCAGUGUGGUGAUGUGGGGUAUAUUUAGCGUAUAUGAGUAUAUGGGGCAAUCAAGUUGGAGACUCAACGAUGCUCGGGUAAUCAGUCAGCUGUAGUAAUUGUCGCAGCCCCACCGCAAUGCAGCUCCCUCAAGCUGACAAAUAUGAGUCGCAGGUAACGUGUAACUAAUUUCUCUAAAUGUCAACGCAUACACAUACACAAGCCAUAUGGAGGCUUUCAGUUGGCAACACGUAUGAAUCCACAAAAGCGUUGCAAGGGCAUCAAUCCAAACGGACGUUCACUAGUAAGAGUGUGGGUGUUAUGGGGUGGGGGAGAGCGCGUACAAAGCGUGUAGGCGUACAUGUUGCUGUGCGCACGAGGAAAGUUCUAGUGUCGACUGGCAAUCAGUAGUUGUUGUACAAUCAUUUUGAAAGCAAAUUUUGUGUUUAUUGUUAUUUUAUUAUUAUUUUUUUUUCGCAUGCAUUUUCGAAAUAUUCGUAUGCACUAUAAUCUCAGCUUAAUACAUUAUUCAAUCGCACUUCAAUUUCCAUUCUACUAGCUGGGUGGGUCAACAGCGUUUAUCUUGAUUUGCCGCAGUUAACAUUGAAAAUCACCAUUCAAGCAAAUUACGUUUAAAUAAUUAAUUUUUUCCUGUUAAAGCAUUUGAGGCAGCGGCAAACAACAAAAGCAGCCAAACUAUAUAAAAGCGCUGAAGCAGAACAACAAAACGAAUUAUUACGUGCAAACCACAUAAAAUGUAAUUAUAUUAUUAGAACUUGACGAAAUGAACGCAGCGCUGCUCUGUGACAUGGAAAAUUUCUUGGUGACUUAACCCAUUCAGUUAUACCGUUGAGACAUAAUUGAGUAAUUCUAGAGAAAACAUACUAGAUAAAAAUGUUGAAGGGAAUACAAAUACUUUCAAAUUGGAAUUAGCUACGUAAAUGGACAGCCAUAUUACAUAAUAAAUAUGUACUAGAGACUAGAUCUCAAGUCCCUAGAAUCUUAGAAUAUUUUUUUUUUUUACAUAGGUCUUUUGGUAUAAUAUAUUCAAAGCACAAUCGAAGGCCAUUAUUCGAAUUUAAACUGAUUGCUCGGCCUUUCGGAACUUUAGAACUUGUGGUACGGUAAACUUUGCGUCGCAGAGAAGUGUGGACAACUAUUUCUUUUUAUCUGAGGAGCUUUUGAAGCAUGUAAGCCACAAGGUACACAAUCGCAGCGCAGCUGCCUCGUCGUGCGCUUUAACAACCCACAAGCAACGAGCGGCUAACAAUCGCCAACCCAAUCAAGUCAGGCCAUAUAAGCGAGCUUGUUUAAUUAAAAUUUAUCACAGCGUCCAAAAAUGGCAAAUAAUAAGCGGAAGGAGGGUAGGGCAGCAGAAAAUUGCUUGAUAGAAGCGCGGCAACGGGGAGAAGCGGUGCAAGCGGCUGCGCACAAGCGUGUAGCACGGAAGGCGGCAACAGCCCAAGUGCAGGCAUAUUUUAUUAUAUUAAUAAAACUUAUAAAUGAAAAGAAAAUCGUAAAAAAUAUCGAAAAAUUAAAAUUAAAUUAUUAAACGCUAACGAAACUAGCAAUUAUGACAGCAACGGAUAAGUGCCAGGGGGAGUCACGUUAACAACAGCGAAAAUUGUGCGGCCUGGGACGCUGAAACACAUCUCUUUUUUUCGGAAAUGCCAAAAACACGAUUCCUUUGAUGAAUUUUCUUUGUGUUUUUUUUUUUGUUUUUUGUUAAUUUGGCUACAAACACUGCUGGGGGCACGUUUGACUGCGCUGCAACAAGUCAAAGUGACACACACACAUGCAUAUAAACCACAUACACUAGCGCUUGUAUUGGCCCACGCUAGCGAAUGUGACAGACUGCUGGACGUCAGCAAAUUGUGUUGAGCGAUUUUUUGACGUGUGGUUCGCUUGAAAAACAACAGCA